UAUGGCAGAUUAGUGGCAAUGGAAA
rnacentral:tRNA from 1 species